AAGAAAUUCUAAUUAGAAGUAGGCU
rnacentral:piRNA from 1 species